GGAUCUCGAUGCCGCUGUCCAGGCCCUCGUCAACUUCGCCCCCCAAAGGUUUGAUGAUUUGGAACAUAUAAUUUUUGUGCCAGGGCUUUGUCUGGAUCGUGGAGCAGCUGCAGAUGGGUGAAGGGAGCCCCGCUGCUGGGUCAAGGCUGGAGUUGGCUGAGUGCACGAAUGAGGGAACAUGUGUUUGGUUAGAGUACUAGUAUUAAAGCGUACUACUCCCUCUUAUCCAUAGUAAAUGUUGUGGUUUUAGUUCUAGUUUGAACUAAAACCACGACACAUAUUAUUGCCUUGCAUGUAUGUUAUGGUUCAAUUGUUUUUGCUGUGUUA